UGGGGAAUAUUGCACAAUGGGCGCAAGCCUGAUGCAGCAACGCCGCGUGAACGAUGAAGGUCUUCGGAUCGUAAAGUUCUGUUGCAGGGGAAGAUAAUGACGGUACCCUGUGAGGAAGCCCCGGCUAACUACGUGCCAGCAGCCGCGGUAAUACGUAGGGGGCUAGCGUUACCCGGAUUUACUGGGCGUAAAGGGUGCGUAGGUGGUCCUUCAAGUCGGUGGUUAAAGGCUACGGCUCAACCGUAGUAAGCCGCCGAAACUGGAGGACUUGAGUGCAGGAGAGGAAAGUGGGAUUCCCAGUGUAGCGGUGAGAUGCGUAGAUAUUGGGAGGAACACCAGUAGCGAAGGCGGCUUUCUGGACUGCAACUGACACUGAGGCACGAAAGCGUGGGUAGCAAACAGG
rnacentral:rRNA from 1 species